AACGUACGCUGGCGGCACGCCUAACACAUGCAAGUCGAACGCAGUAGCAAUACUGAGUGGCAGACGGGUGAGUAACAUGUGGGAAUCUGCCUUGUGGUUCAGGACAACAUUGGGACACCGAUGCUAAUACUGGAUAAGCCCUUACGGGGAAAGUUUUAAUGCCAUAAGAUGAGCCCACAUUUGAUUAGUUAGUUGGUGAGGUAAUGGCUCACCAAGACAAUGAUCAAUAGCUGAUCUGAGAGGAUGAUCAGCCACACUGGGACUGAGACACGGCCCAGACUCCUGCGGGGGGCAGCAGUGGGGAAUCUUGCACAAUGGAGGAAACUCUGAUGCAGCGAUGCCGGGUGAGUGAAGAAGGCCUUUGGGUUGUAAAGCUCUUUUGUAGGGGAAGUUAAUGACGGUACGCUAAGAAUAAGGUCCGGCUAACUUCGUGCCAGCCGCCGCCGUAA
rnacentral:rRNA from 1 species